UCGGGAAUAUUGCGCAAUGGAGGAAACUCUGACGCAGUGACGCCGCGUAUAGAAAGAAGGUUUUCGGAUUGUAAACUAUUGUCGUUAGGGAAGAGAAAGGACAGUACCUAAGGAGGAAGCUCCGGCUAACUACGUGCCAGCAGCCGCGGUAAUACGUAGGGAGCGAGCGUUAUCCGGAAUUAUUGGGUGUAAAGGGUGCGUAGACGGGAGAACAAGUUAGUUGUGAAAUACCUCGGCUCAACUGAGGAACUGCAACUAAAACUGUACUUCUUGAGUGCAGGAGAGGUAAGUGGAAUUCCUAGUGUAGCGGUGAAAUUGCGUAGAUAUUAGGAGGAACACCAGUGGCGAAGGCGACUUACUGGACUGUAACUGACGUUGAGGCACGAAAGUGUGGGGAGCAACAGGAUUAGAUACC
rnacentral:rRNA from 1 species